AUCAAUUAAAUCAUAUGCCCACAAAAAGACUAGUACAAAAAUAUUUAUAGCAAUUUUAUUAAUUGCUCCAAACUGGAAAUAACCCAAUAUGUCUAUCCCACAGGUCUAUGAUCAGAAGAAUAGAUAAACAAAUUGUGGCAUAAUCACACAAUGGAAUACUACUCAGCAACAAAGAAGAACUGCUGCUCUAUGCAACAACAUGGAUGGCUCUCUCAGAUAUGCUCAGAGGAAGAAGCCAAAUACCAAGGAUUGCAUUCUGGAGGAUUCCAUUUGUAUGAAGUUCAAGAACAGGGAAAGCUAAGCUAAGGGCAUGUCAUUUGCAGGGAUGAAAACUCACUGAAAAGUACCUGUAAGGCUUAUGCGUUUCACUGUAAGUACAUUUUAUCUCAAUUAAAGAAUACCAAGGGAAAAAAAGAAGUAAUUGCAUUUCUGGGAACUUAUCCUUAGGAAAUAAUCAGAGAAACUGGCAAAGAUAUAUGCUUAUCAAAGUAUCAACUAUAUCAACUAUAAUAUAAAAACUAUGGAAACAACAUAAAUAGAACCAGUAAGAAUGAUGCAUGGAUAUACAGUAAUUUCAUAUAAAGAUAUUCACAAUAUGGUACUGAACAAAAAAACCUGCAUAUAAGGGCCAGGGAGUGGAAACAACACAUAUGUCCAUUAACUGAUGAGUGGAUAAAGAAAAUAUGGUAUGUCUAUACAAUGGAAAAUUCUUCAGCCAAAAAAAAAAAAAA